rnacentral:Y_RNA from 1 species
GGCUGGUCCAAUGGUAGUAGGUUAGCAGAAUUUAUUAACAUUAAUAUCACUAAAGUUGGUAUUCAAUCCCCACUGCUAAAUUUGACUAAUUAAA